rnacentral:rRNA from 1 species
GAUGAACGCUAGCGGGAGGCCUAACACAUGCAAGCCGAGCGGUAUUGUUUCUUCGGAAAUGAGAGAGCGGCGUACGGGUGCGGAACACGUGUGCAACCUGCCUUUAUCUGGAGGAUAGCCUUUCGAAAGGAAGAUUAAUACUCCAUAAUAUAUUAAUUGGCAUCAAUUGAUAUUGAAAACUCCGGUGGAUAGAGAUGGGCACGCGCAAGAUUAGCUAGAUGGUGAGGGAACGGCUCACCAAGGCAAUGAUCUUUAGGGGGUCUGAGAGGGUGAUCCCCCACACUGGUACUGAGACACGGACCAGACGCCUACGGGAGGCAGCAGUGAGGAAUAUUGGUCAAUGGGUGCAAGCCUGAACCAGCCAUCCCGCGUGAAGGAUUAAGGUCCUAUGGAUUGUAAACUUCUUUUGUAUAGGGAUAAACCUACCCUCGUGAGGGUAGCUGAAGGUACUAUACGAAUAAGCACCGGCUAACUCCGUGCCAGCCGCCGCGGUAAUAC